UACAGAGGGUGCAAGCGUUAAUCGGAAUUACUGGGCGUAAAGCGAGCGUAGUCGGUUAUUUAAGUCGGAUGUGAAAGACCCCCGGGCUCAACCUGGGAAUUGCACUCGAUACUGGAUAGCUAGAGUUCGGCAGAGGGAAGCGGAAUUUCCGGUGUAGCGGUGAAAUGCGUAGAUAUCAGGAGGAACACCGGUGGCGAAGGCGGGUCUCUGGGCCGAUACUGACGCUGAGGAGCGAAAGCGUGGGGGGAGCGAACAGG
rnacentral:rRNA from 1 species